rnacentral:sRNA from 11 species
AUGGAAGAUGCAUGGCUUGAGCAUCUACAUAGUUCUUGAGAGCAGAAGCAUGAUGAGGAUGAACCACAAAGCUGAGCUCCUGCUUAAGAAGCGCUUCAGUCUUAUGGUUCCUAUCCUGAGCUCCCAGGUGGUUGUCUGAGGUACGCACGAACCGGCAAGUCACAAAACGGCAAUGGUGAACUCCAGCAGGAGUCU